rnacentral:tRNA from 1 species
ACCAGUGUGGUUUAGUGGUUAGAAUUUUGGACUGGUAUUUGGGUGACCUAGAUUCGAAUCCCAAUUCUGAGA